rnacentral:snRNA from 1 species
AUGCUGCUUUGGCAGCACAUAUACUAAAACUGGAACGAUACAGAGAAGAUUAGCAUGGCCCCUGCGCAAGGAUGUCAGGCACAUUCGUGAAGCAUUCCAUAUUUUU